CGAGGUUUCACAAUUUAGGGAUAAUUGAGUAUUGAUUAUCUAAAGAAUAGACGGUGACUUAACUUUGUGCAAUAUUUUAUUAAAUUUUGAUGUGCUUAUAGAAGUCAGUUUGGAGGUUUUAUGGUAAGGUUAACGUGUAAUUGAGUUUAGUCUUUAGUUAUUACGAAGUUGGUGAAAGGCUUACGUGUAGCAAGCUGUGACGUGUAUUAGUAAGCUUUUUUUUUUAGUUAUGGUGUCUUGUUAGUAAGCCGUGAUUUAUUUUAAGUAAUAAGCUGUUUUCUACAGUCUCCGAAGUUUUUGCUUGUGUGAUCUAAUUUGGCAAGUGGUUAGUUUGUGAAAAGUCAUUGACGGCAGAUGACAAUGUUAGUUGAAUUUAAGAAAUCCUGUCAAAUCGUCCCAGUCCUGACAAAUCAAUUUUAGAACUUAAAGUAGGAAAGCAACUCUAAAACUGGUGAAGACUUAGUUGCUAGUUUUUUUUUAUGAAGCCUUAAUUUUGUAUUAAUCAAUUAAAGCUUAAAAAAUCCGAGUGGAUAAAGCUUUUUUUACCAAACUUCUCAGUAUAUAAAUGAGCUUAUUCUACCAGACGAACGUUUCCCCUACCCAUUGACUGUAUUUCAUUGCAUAAAACUAUUUUGAAGGUAAACCUUCAGUUCACUCAAUAAUGCUUAAGAAGCUCUGUAUUUUUACUAUGAAGAUCGCUUGAAAAAGUAUUAUAACUUAAUCAUAGUAUUGGUAUUUCUAUAUAAGCAUUCCGCAUCGUUCGUCCCGGCGAAUACGAAAGCCACCAGGAAUAGGGGCGUCACAUGUAUUUCGCCGUGUUUAGUAAGAGCCCCUGGGGGUUAAUUACAGUCGUCCGAAUAAAUAUUACUUUCUUGUUCAGGAGGUAAAACUGCAUAGAAAAACCGCAACUGCCAGUCUAGGCCGCCGCGGAAUAGUAAUAUAUAUCUUAGGUUUAAAUGGUUAGAUUAAAUGUGCUUUCUAAGCCCUGUUCCAAGAAACAGGAUAUUAAAUGUAUGUGUAGUUCAAUUCACAUUUUUUUCACUCAUAAUUACUAUGAUACUCAUGACCUGGGAGGAUUUUCUUGCCACCUAACGUGCAACAAAAAUUUGAUUGUCCAAAAUUAAGGUGGAGACUUGCUGGACUCGCAAGUAAUUAUCCAAGAGAUGCAAUUUAGUGUGCUUUGGCGAGACCAGUAACUUAUUUAACGUGCAGGUGGGUGGUUGGCAUAGUAUUUUUUGCUUAAUUUCUUUCACAUAGAAUCUUUUCAGUGGAAAAUUCAUUUGUAUGACGCAGUUAGCCACUGUUGUAGUUUUGGGAAAACUGGCAUUUUUCCUGUUCAUGUGGCAAUAUUUUACCUGAUGUUGAAAGAAGUCAGACCAUUGAUGGUAUCAGUCUCUUGGUAAGCAAUCAAAAUUAAAUAUUUGGAGGGAUUUUAUCAAAAGGGAUUAACUAGAGACUGGAGCAGAAGAAUCUUUGCCUUACACCUGUUGGAAUGGAAGUGCUGUUAAGUGUUCUCUCUAGAGCUUGUUUCAUUUGCAAUGAUUAUCUUAAUAAUAUUACCCUGUGGAGGGAGUAUAUUAACGGAAGAAUGUUCGACCAUGAUUGAUAUAGGAAGCUAUAUGUAGAAGCUAUACGUGCUCCUUGUGCUUUACAUAGAUGACCAUUUCAGAACAGUAUCUAAUUUCUAGUAAGUCUGGAUUUUAUUUCCAAAAGCUAUAGUGCAUUUCAGGUCCUGAAUUAAAUGUUGCAUAGUUUUUAAAGUUGCCAGUACGUCCUAUAACUUUCUGAUUCUAGUCAUACUUGAUUCAUCAGUCUUAAGUCUUGCAGAUUUGCAUUAAUCUGCAUGGGGCACCUUGUAAAGCAGGAGUGGUAGCUAUAUAGUCACUACUUAACUGUUUUUGCUAUGUAGUGGUUGAACGUAUCUCUUAAAGUCUGAGCUCUUUAAAAUUAAGAUCUCCAAGUAAGGGAAUAUUUACUGCCACAAAGCAUGCUAAGUUUGAAUUAGUAGAAACCACCUUAUAUGAUAAAGAAAUAACUAUUGAAUUACUGAGGUAAUACUAAGUCGAUUAAAGGAAAAGGUAAUACUAGGUGCACAAAAUUUAAAUUUAUUUUCUAAUUAAGUACUGGUAAACCUCAAGCCAAUUGAAAUUCCACAAAUGCGUAAAAUGAGGCAUUGGAAGUUUAACUAAUUAGUUCUUCCUUUUGCAGGUCCUUUUGCAGCAGAAGCUGAACUUCGUAGCAAGAUGAUUGGGUAAUAUUUUAGUUUCAACCAUUAUGGGAAAUCUAUUAUAUUGAUAUUUUUCCCGAGUAAAGCACGUGAUAACAAAACACUUCUUCUCAAUACAUUAUUGUCGCUAAUGCAUACUUACAGAGAAAAAAAAAGAUUAAGUUUUUACCUCGAAUUUUUCCUAAGUCGGGAGAGGUGUUUCCUCUACGGUAAUGUUUACUUUUAAUGAGCCCUCUAACUUACUUUCUUACGCAAACAAAAGCAGUUCCAGUUACUCAUUAUUGGCUGAGAGGUGUGACAUCGUUAUGACGUCAUGGGUUUCAUAACCAAUUACGAAUGACUUGAGUCGAAAACUAAGUUUCACUAGCAUUUCAGCGGAGUAAUACAGUUACCUGUCUAGUGUCCACUGGUAUCCUUGUUUGACUGAAUACUCGAAUAAUGAAGCAAAAAACGGCAUUUUGUCUUCCUGUACCUAUGGCAGAGGUAGUGGCUGGCCCUUCUGGCAUUAAUUUUGACAGACCUUCGAUUUCCUACCGAUUGUUUGCAGUGCAAUGUGGUCGUCGGGUACCUGGCCACUUCCUACUUUAAGUUGCAUGUCAGGGAACCUUGCAACGGCUUCACGUUUUCCCUCAAAGCACCAGCACAUUUUUAUCAACCAACAGUUUAAGUUCCACAGGUUUCCAGCGCUUCCCUCUGUCGUAAUCGCUGACUACAGAAAUUGGUUAGCAUGAAGCAGUGAUAGACCAAUGGACCAUCUUGGUUUGGAUUCCGCGUGUAAUUGGUAUCUGUCCUCGUCGCCGGCUCUGGCAAAAAUUUCAAGAGUAGUUCAAGCAGGGCAUGAAGAUUAAUCAUAAAGGAAAUAAAGGAAAUCAGCAUUAUACAUGUGAGAACAAACUUUGUAAGAUUGGAGUGUGAACAAGAUUAAUCUGAAGGAAAGCAGAAUAGUUGCUUGCAGUCUUUGAAGAAGAGAAUACACGAAAUAGCCGUACAUGAAGAGUUAGAGAACACACGACACUUAACAGUAUUUGAAGAGGGCGAGAGAGUGCACGCAUAGAAAGAUAACAGCAGUAUUUGUGGAGUUCGAAAACACACUACACCUUUGAAGCUGUAAAAUUAUUAGCUUCAAAAUAAAAGUCGGGUAAUAACAGAUUUAAAGAAAGUUAGAAAAACCCUUGACGUAAGACAAGGAAUAACAAAUUUGAACUGAGAGAUAGUUCCUUUAUCCUUGUAAUAAAUAUUCUAGGAAAAAAAUUGUAAAGGGAUUAAAUGUGUAAUAAAUACUCUAGGAAAAAAAUUAUAAUCGGGAUUUGUCUAUGCUUAAACAUCUAAUCCCUUUAUGUACAUGUGUUGAUAAAUGUUUAAAGAUCACGUUUAGAGAUCUUUUGAAAAGCCAGUAUCUCUGUCUUGCCGGUUGUUUUCCUCAGUUCUCCCCGUUUUGCCGUUUUAGUUCCCUUCUUCCGUUCUGUCAUUUUCUUUCUAGACAGCUCUUCCUUUGCUUCGUGUUUCUUCCCUUCUUCCGUAACGUUACUAAUCUUUCCCUUCACUCACGCCUCCUGCUAUGUCUUUUUCUUCUCUGCUCUGAAACUAGAAACUUAGUUCUGAAACUAACUUUAAAUCAAAGAAUUUUGAUAGUUCAAACUAGCUCUAAAUCAAGAAUGCUGAUUGUGUAAACAAACAACGGGAGGCAAUAAAAGUGUGCACUAAAUAGUUCUGAAACUACCUUUAAAUCAAGAUUUCUAAUAGUUUCAACUAGCUCAAAGAAUUCUGAUAGUUUGAACACUUAAACAACGGGAGGCGAUAAAAAGUGGGCACUAGACUACUUAAAACGCCUUUACGGCGUUAUUAGAUUUCUUGUUGACCCAUUCACAAUCUAUGAAGGUUUGAUUAUAAAUUUAAACUUAAAAUCCUUACUUUUUAGUGAACUUAAAUCAAUUACGAACUUUAAUACAUGAAAUUAAUACAUUGUGACAAAUUACUCAAACUUAUUACAAUAGCUUACUAGAACUUAAUAGUACACGAGAGCUUAAGGUAAGUAACAAAUAUAAAUUUUUAAGAUUUAAAUUGAAAGCUUUAACAAAAAUAUUUUUUAUAAACCUAAUUUAUAUUGAAAGGCGGCAAAAACUCGCUGGAAAAUCGAAAACUCACCAAAUUCAGUCUCGUCCAGAACUAUUAUACUAUACGUUUACCACCAAACAGUAAAGAAAACAUACCUUGUGAUCUAUAAAAGUUUGAAACCAGGUAAAUUUUCUCAAGUCUUGCAUUUCCUCCAAUGAAAAACAAUACAAUUCACUGUUUUUUUUCUCCAGCCAGGUAAGAAGAAAGCUGAAAAAAAUUAACCAAAUUGUGAAAACUCCUUAAGCCAAACAACUGAUAAAACAUGUGAUUUGCAUAAACAAAUUAGAACUUUUAUAAGAUUUGGCAGCUUUCAUUAUUUAAACUGAAUAACUUUUCUUUUAUUGGAUGACUAUUUAGUGGAAAUAUAAAAAAAUUCAUAUAAAAAACCUAGUUGCCGAUUUCAUUGUUUUUGUUAGGCCUCUAGUGAUAAAAUGAAUAGUACUGUGUAACGACUACGUAUUUAAGUUACCUAUUAUGCAUCAGUUAUAAGAACUACAAAUAAUUCUGCUUUUGCAACGCAUUCCUGCACACCAGUUUUAGUACUUAUUUUAAUAAUCCAUACACAUUUAUAAUUCUACUUUUGCUAGGCAACCCUGCACGCCAGUCAUACUAUUUUAAUUAUCCAUGAUUUUUUUUUUUCUAGGCAUCCAUGAACAGCAGUUAUGUUUUGAUAAUCCAAAUAUUUGUAAUUUGGCUUUAAACUAUUCUUCAUAAACUUUUAGUGCGUUAUCUAAAAGCUUAAUGUAUUAUUUCAAUCUAAAUUAUUUUACAACCAGCAAUACUCACACACUGAAAAAGGAGUUUCACAUUAAAUUCCAAAAAAUUAUACAGCUAAACUAUCGGAUUACAAGAUAGUAUAAAUAGCCCAAAUAAAUUGCCAACAUAAAAAAAAUAUGUACCUGGAAAGAUAUACUUAGCUAUUUAAUUCUGCUGUGACUGAAAGCAUAACUUUUGAAGUCCUCCAGGGGCCAAACUUCCAAGUCCUCCAGGGGCCAAACUUCCAAGUCCUCCAGGGGCCAAACUUCCAAGUCCUCCAGGGGCCAAACUUCCAAGUCCUCCAGGGGCCAAACUUCCAAGUCCUCCAGGGGCCAAACUUCCAAGUCCUCCAGGGGCCAAACUUCCAAGUCCUCCAG